UACGUAGGUGGCAAGCGUUGUCCGGAUUUAUUGGGCGUAAAGCGAGCGCAGGCGGUUUCUUAAGUCUGAUGUGAAAGCCCCCCGGCUCAACCGGGGAGGGUCAUUGGAAACUGGGAGACUUGAGUGCAGAAGAGGAGAGUGGAAUUCCAUGUGUAGCGGUGAAAUGCGUAGAUAUAUGGAGGAACACCAGUGGCGAAGGCGGCUUUCUGGUCUGUAACUGACACUGAGGCACGAAAGCGUGGGGAGCAAACAGG
rnacentral:rRNA from 1 species